rnacentral:snoRNA from 1 species
GUGAUGAGCAUGGGAACGGCGUAUGUGUGAAGAGGGCUUGAUUAACUGA